UAUGUUCUAAUUUCUGACCCAAUAGAACAAUAUUGAUUCAAAGCCCAUAUUCUCACAAUCUCCACCUUGGGCUUUAGUCAGAUAAGGCCCACCUCUACCUCACGUCCUUUCCUUCCCCGACGGCAAAUCAAAGCUUUUCCUUCUGAUUACGUCUCAGACACAAACCCUGACAUGCAACUGAAACUCCGACGAAUCUCAGCGGUUUAUGGCGGUGCCCUCCGGCCACCUUCAACUCGAGACUGUCUCCACCAGCAGUGAAACACCAAAAACAACAUCUAUCAAAGCAAACCAAACCCGAUUAAAGUCGCUGCAACUUGCAAUGACUUCUCUUUCUGCUUUGCUCUCUCGAUCAUGGCAAAAUGGAACUGAUGCAACUUCGUCUCGCCAUAAUUUAUUUAAUUUCUGGAGAGUUCUCCAUAGCCGGUAAUCACUAAACCCUUUAGUGAAUCUCCUCGCCGCUGUAUUGUCUGAACAGAACCCCAAAGCUUCUUGACUCCAUCCCAACGAGCUGUAGUAUCCAUUGCUCACAUCGUAACUACAACAAUGAGAUCUCCAGCAAGAAUAGUAGAUUUGUUGUCCUAACCCCCUUUGACUUUGACUUUUCCUUUGAUAGUGAAGUCUCAAUGCUAAUUACCUAUUUGCAACUUCGGUGACUUUAUCUUUACCAGCCUCAGGUAUCAACCUCGUUCUAUUCCACUACCGUGAUAGAUGUAUGUCGAUACCAACUCUGAAAAUCCCUACCAGCUUCUCCGGUGUAUUUUCUACCUCCUCUGCUGUAUAUAAGUCACACGUCUCCCUUCAGCUUGUCCGAUCUACGAACCUGCUUUUCCAGUGGUUCACCACCAUCGCAACUCCGAUCCGAGAUUGCAACUCUGACAUUACUUUGCCGUCGACCUCAGAUCAGGUUACUCCACCUUGAACUCUGAUUCUUCCUUCGAUUACACCACCUUGGACCGCUCUGCUUCUGUUUUCUUCUUGAGCUCAAAAAACUCAUAGAGAUUCAUGACUCUCUCUCAAGUUAUCACCAUUGAUGGGAACACUCGAUUUCACUUCAUCGUUGAUCAUGUGAUAUCAAUGCUCAAGAUCCUCCAGCGUCCGUCUCAUCUCUCUUGAUAAAGUUGCAAACAGAGCUAGCUUGUCUUCUUUUUACAGCUUGUCCGACGAAAGCCUUCGCCACCUCCACUGUUUAAGACGUUUCCUUAAGUAAUCUCCUCCAGUUCUUUAGGCUGAACUCCUUGCCAGCUUUACUAAAACCUUAUAUGUUCUCCUUCAAUGGCACUUCUCUUGUGAUAACUCUUACACACUCCUUUGCGCCUUUGAUUUUUUUUUUUUGAGAACUUAACUUGGUUUCUUUUCCCACAGCAGCUCCACUUUAUCUUACCAUUCUUCAGCUCCACCUGGACCUGGAAUCAUCUUCUGAUUCCAUUAAAUGUUUCUUCGGUGAUCAGUCGAAGUACUUCUGCUCCCAUGAUGAUUCCUGUAGCUCCUUGUGGAAUCUAACACUUGAUUCCUUGUUCCUUUCCAGCUACUCAUGACGAAAGACCAACCUUCGCUCUUGCUUCCUGCAACUUCAGAUUUCCAAGACGAGCUCCACCUGGAACCAGAAUCAACAUUGCACGACUUCUAAUUCUUCACAGUUAUUUUAAACCUCAACUGUGAGAGCUCAGCCUCCUCCUUCAUCUUUAGGUAAUUCCCUUUACCUAUAUACGCUUUUGCACUUUAAAUUUAGUACAAACCAGAAUCAUGUUUGCCUCACGCCCGAAGCUACAUUGAUUUUACUAUUAGUCAAUCAAUCACACAGCCUCCUCCAUAACCUUCAUGAAUCUGUUGUUGAUUUAACUCAUCCUCCCUCUGCAUCCUGAUUUCCUUUAACCAAAUGCAAUUACCUCCCUGAAUCAUACACGUUUCAACCCGUGAAACAAUUCUCUGAUUCAAAAAACUUUUCCGUUUAAACCCCACAGCCUCGGACUCCUUUUGUACCGCCGUUAACAUUAACAGGACACACCAUCAAGCUACCAAACAUGCUAGAUAGA